AUUACAUUGGCAUAAACAUGAAUAUACUAAUAUUAUACACAAAAAUGUUUCCUUCAACCCAGAAGUUCAUUUUUUUUCCCUUUGGAUUUUAAAAGAAGUGAAAACAUCAACCUACGGACCCCUGAAAGCACUGUGAGCCUGAGACAUCGGGCUUGUUGAGACAUCAGGCUCAUCUGAUGGAGAAGUCAGCCCUGCUAGAACCCAAGUCUCCCAGCCUGAACAGCACCAGCACAAAGCCCAGAGAUGGCCAGAGACUUGCCCAAGGUCACACAGCACAUUGCCAGCUGACUCAGAGGCCCCCAUCCUGCCUUCCCGGCACCAAGUCUUGCAAACCUGGGGCUGAGACAUGUGAGCAGCCCCAGAACAGAUAAAACAAAGCAGGAACCACAUCAGCAACAAAGGCAAGACCCGAGCUCCCAUUCUGGGAAUUGAGUGCUGCCUGGCUGGGUGUCCAGAGCCGCUGACGUCUUGCCUGGUGACCUUGGGCCACUCCUGACCUUCCAGGAUCUGGCUUCCAGGAUCCUGGGAAGCAGGAGCUGGCAUUUCCCUCUCUCUCUCGGACCCCAGUGAAUGUACAGUAGGGCCAGCAGCAGGGAUUUUCUCAUCCUUCCCACAGACCAGUCACUUGGUUCAAGCAGAUUCCUCUCAUCUUCCCAGAGGAAUUCAGCCCAUUUCACAGAAGAACAAACCAAGGGACCAAGUGAAAACACACACAGCCUCCCAGGCUCAGUCAGGGCAGCCCAGGAGCACAGACCAGAAGCUUGGGACACCCUAAGGAUCUUCUCUUCCCUUCAUCACCAGCAUUUCAUCCUGUGGAUUCAGUGUCUCUGAAACGGUUUCGAAUUGUCCAUUCUAGACACCACAGUGGUCCCGGCGAAGACCCAAUUAUCUUCAGCCUGGAUGCCGCCUCAGUUUCCUAUUUGUGUUUCUUGUUCCCUCUAUCCCAGCCCUACACAAUCCCUGUUCUCCAAGGCAACUACAGAUGUUCUUUCUUUUCUUUCUUUUGUUGUUUAGAGACGAGGUCUUGCUCAGUUGCCCAGCCUGGAGUGCAGUGGCAUGAUCAUAGCUCACUGCAGCCUCAAACUCUCAGGCUUAAGUAAUCCUCCUGCCUCAGCUUCCAAAAUGCUGAGACAACAGUCAUGAAGCACUGAAACUGGCCAGUUCAUUUUAUUUCCAA